rnacentral:lncRNA from 1 species
GCCGACGAACCGUGCCUUCAGAGCAGCCCACACCUCCGCGGCGGUCUUCUUCGCCGCCACCUGCAGCAACAGGUUCUCUGCGAGCGCGCUGAGCAGGUAGGCGCGUGCGGGCUUGUCCUUCUUGGCGAUGACGGCCGCCGCCGCGUCCNNNNNNNNNNUCACGACCUGGCCCGCUCCGGCCGCGCCCACUCCGCGCACACACGCGCCUGGGUCGCGCUGAGCCCGCACUGGUCUGACCCGAUCACACCGCCCUGCUCGCCAACGGCCUCCUACGUCUACGGCACGGCUACUGCACGCACACACGCGCACCCAUGCACCCACACACAUACGCAUGCACUCGACUCGCCGCGGACCCGACUCGCCGCGGACCCGACGCACGCCCAUACACGCGCCCGGUGUGACGAACUCGUCGCCGCGGCUUAUUUCACCCAACACUCGCGCCCUAAGCCGCGGCUCAGAGCAGCCCGGCGUCCUCGACGUCGCCGUCGAUCAACAGAUCGCGCUCCUUCGCCGGCUCCUUGCGCAGCAGUGGGCGCUCCCUCUUGAAAUGACCGUGCUCAUCGCAUUUGUAGCAGCGGCCGCGCGCCGAUUCCCGCCGAAGCCUGACGCCUCGCUGCGCGCCCCGUCGUCGUCGUCCCGAGCUCCGCCUCGCUGCCGCUCGCGCGCCCGCCACUGUGCCGCGGUGAGCAUCAACUGCUCGCCGUCGUGGUUGCCCCCGUCCUGCCCGCGUCGACGCAGCCUUUCGUCGAAGGCCUUCAGCCGCCCUAGCGCGUCCUCGAACGCCAUGGCUUCGGCGUCAUGCACAGAACUGCUCGAUCCCGGCCACCGCCGGGUACAGGCGGUUCGGCAACGAGUCGAGCAGCUUCUUGACGAGGGCGGCGUCCUCCAGGGUUGAACCCAACGCCGCGUAGCGCGCCGCCAUCCCGCCGAGCCUGCCAGCGAAAUCGUCCAGGGUCUCGGCGUCCGCCAUGCGCAGAAGUUCAAACUCCCCGCGCAGCGUGCCCAGCCGAGCCGCCCGCACACGGUCCGCGCCGACGAACCGUGCCUUCAGAGCAGCCCACACCUCCGCGGCGGUCUUCUUCGCCGCCACCUGCAGCAACAGGUUCUCUGCGAGCGCGCUGAGCAGGUAGGCGCGUGCGGGCUUGUCCUUCUUGGCGAUGACGGCCGCCGCCGCGUCCUCCGGCACGACCACUGCCUCCCACAGCCCCGCCGCAUCGAGGUUGGCCUCGAUCUUGAUCGCCCACGCGGUAUAAUUCUCACCGGUGAGCUGUGGCACUGGCUGCGGCAGUGAGCUGCCCGAUCCGCCGGCGUACGGGACGAUGGACAUCGCCGGCGAGCUCCCCGCUCCACGUGGCUCUGAUGCCAAUUGUUGGAACCGCCAGUCCCUCGCCGUGCUCCUCCUUGCUCGCUCUGUCUCCGUCGCUCAAGCUCACCAGAGAAGAAGAAAGAAGAAGGAAGAACACAGUGGACACGGUGGUUUUUGCCCGCGCAACAACGCCUUUUCUUGAGCUCGAACUCAACAACCCACACCAUUACAACGAGCCCCGCAGGUGCUCUUAUACCCUGGGCACACGCCGGGCACGACCCGCACGCCCCCCGCCCAGCCUGUUCACGACCUGGCCCGCUCCGGCCGCGCCCACUCCGCGCACACACGCGCCUGGGUCGCGCUGAGCCCGCACUGGUCUGACCCGAUCACACUGCCCUGCUCGCCAACGGCCUCCUACGUCUACGGCAUGGCUACUGCACGCACACACGCGCACCCAUGCACCCACACACAUACGCAUGCACUCGACUCGCCGCGGACCCGACGCGCCCUGCACACCUGACGCACGCCCAUACACGCGCCCGGUGUGACGAACUCGUCGCCGCGGCUUAUUUCACCCAACACUCGCGCCCUAAGCCGCGGCUCAGAGCAGCCCGGCGUCCUCGACGUCGCCGUCGAUCAACAGAUCGCGCUCCUUCGCCGGCUCCUUGCGCAGCAGUGGGCGCUCCCUCUUGAAAUGACCGUGCUCAUCGCAUUUGUAGCAGCGGCCGCGCGCCGAUUCCCGCCGAAGCCUGACGCCUCGCUGCGCGCCCCGUCGUCGUCGUCCCGAGCUCCGCCUCGCUGCCGCUCGCGCGCCCGCCACUGUGCCGCGGUGAGCAUCAACUGCUCGCCGUCGUGGUUGCCCCCGUCCUGCCCGCGUCGACGCAGCCUUUCGUCGAAGGCCUUCAGCCGCCCUAGCGCGUCCUCGAACGCCAUGGCUUCGGCGUCAUGCACAGAACUGCUCGAUCCCGGCCACCGCCGGGUACAGGCAGUUCGGCAACGAGUCGAGCAGCUUCUUGACGAGGGCGGCGUCCUCCAGGGUUGAACCCAACGCCGCGUAGCGCGCCGCCAUCCCGCCGAGCCUGCCAGCGAAAUCGUCCAGGGUCUCGACGUCCGCCAUGCGCAGAAGUUCAAACUCCCCGCGCAGCGUGCCCAGCCGAGCCGCCCGCACACGGUCCGCGCCGACGAACCGUGCCUUCAGAGCAGCCCACACCUCCGCGGCGGUCUUCUUCGCCGCCACCUGCAGCAACAGGUUCUCUGCGAGCGCGCUGAGCAGGUAGGCGCGUGCGGGCUUGUCCUUCUUGGCAAUGACGGCCGCCGCCGCGUCCUCCGGCACGACCACUGCCUCCCACAGCCCCGCCGCAUCGAGGUUGGCCUCGAUCUUGAUCGCCCACGCGG